rnacentral:tRNA from 1 species
GGGGCCUUAGCUCAACCGGGAGAGCGCCUCGUUCGCAACGAGGAGGUCGAGGGUUCGAGUCCCUUAGGCUCCACCA